CAGGGUUUGACAUCCUGCGACCGCUCCCUAAUAGGAGUUUUCCCGCAAGGGACGCAGAGACAGGUGCUGCAUGGCUGUCGUCAGCUCGUGUCGUGAGGUGUUGGGUUAAGUCCCGCAACGAGCGCAACCCUCGCCUUUAGUUGCCAUCAUUCAGUUGGGCACUCUAGAGGGACCGCCGGCGACAAGCCGGAGGAAGGUGGGGAUGACGUCAAGUCCUCAUGGCCCUUACACCCUGGGCUACACACGUGCUACAAUGGCGGUGACAGUGGGCAGCUACUUCGCGAGAAGCGGCUAAUCCCAAAAAACCGUCCCAGUUCAGAUUGCACUCUGCAACUCGAGUGCAUGAAGGUGGAAUCGCUAGUAAUCGCAGAACAGCAGGCUGCGGUGAAUACGUUCCC
rnacentral:rRNA from 1 species